GCCUCGGCGGUGAAGUGGUAGAGCAUGCAUCCCCGCAUAGGAUAAAACGCGGGUUCGAUUCCCAGCUGAGGCC